CCCCUUUCAGGGUCGCACUUGGAGAGUUUCCAGACUCUACCAGCCUUGACUAUGGGAGGGAGAGUUAAGCAGAGGACUAUCCAUUCCAUUCCUAGCUUGGGCAGUGGCUAGCCUGUGGAAGACAAUCUGUUACAAGU
rfam:Ornithorhynchus anatinus chromosome X5, whole genome shotgun sequence.